rnacentral:rRNA from 1 species
AUUGAACGCUGGCGGCAUGCCUUACACAUGCAAGUCGAACGCACGGCCUUGGGGUUUUCUUGGGGUUGGUGAGUGGCGAACGGGUGAGUAACACGUGAGUAACCUGCCCUCUUCUUUGGGAUAACGGUCGGAAACGGCUGCUAAUACUGGAUAUUCACACAUUGUCGCAUGGUGGUGUGUGGAAAGCUUUUGUGGUGGGGGAUGGGCUCGCGGCCUAUCAGCUUGUUGGUGGGGUGAUGGCUUACCAAGGCUUUGACGGGUAACCGGCCUGAGAGGGUGACCGGUCACAUUGGGACUGAGAUACGGCCCAG